rnacentral:miRNA from 1 species
CCUACCUUGAGCCAAAGAUAU